UGGGGAAUCUUGCGCAAUGGGCGAAAGCCUGACGCAGCCAUGCCGCGUGGAUGAUGAAGGUCUUAGGAUUGUAAAAUCCUUUCACCGGGGAAGAUAAUGACGGUACCCGGAGAAGAAGCCCCGGCUAACUUCGUGCCAGCAGCCGCGGUAAUACGAAGGGGGCUAGCGUUGCUCGGAAUUACUGGGCGUAAAGGGCGCGUAGGCGGGUCGUCAAGUUGGGGGUGAAAGCCCGGGGCUCAACCUCGGAACUGCCUUCAAAACUGACGACCUGGAGUACGGGAGAGGUGAGUGGAACUCCGAGUGUAGAGGUGAAAUUCGUAGAUAUUCGGAAGAACACCAGUGGCGAAGGCGACUCACUGGCCCGUUACUGACGCUGAGGCGCGAAAGCGUGGGGAGCAAA
rnacentral:rRNA from 1 species